GUUGAACGCUGGCGGCAUGCUUUACACAUGCAAGUCGAACGGUAACAGGGUGCUUGCACCGCUGACGAGUGGCGAACGGGUGAGUAAUGCGUCGGAACGUGCCGAGUAGUGGGGGAUAACGCAGCGAAAGUUGUGCUAAUACCGCAUACGUACUGAGGUAGAAAGUGGGGGACCUUCGGGCCUCACGCUAUUCGAGCGGCCGACGUCUGAUUAGCUAGUAGGUGAGGUAAAGGCUCACCUAGGCAACGAUCAGUAGCGGGUCUGAGAGGAUGAUCAGCCACACUGGGACUGAGACACGGCCCAGACUCCUACGGGAGGCAGCAGUGGGGAAUUUUGGACAAUGGGCGAAAGCCUGAUCCAGCCAUGCCGCGUGUCUGAAGAAGGCCUUCGGGUUGUAAAGGACUUUUGUCAGGGAGGAAAUCCCUAGUGCUAAUAACACUGGGGGAUGACAGUACCUGAAGAAUAAGCACCGGCUAACUACGUGCCAGCAGCCGCGGUAA
rnacentral:rRNA from 1 species